GACGAACGCUGGCGGCGUGCCUAAUACAUGCAAGUCGAGCGCAGGAAGUCAUCCGAACCCUUCGGGGGGACGUUGACGGAAUGAGCGGCGGACGGGUGAGUAACACGUAAAGAACCUGCCCUCAGGUCUGGGAUAACCACGAGAAAUCGGGGCUAAUACCGGAUGGGUCAUCGGACCGCAUGGUCCGAGGAUGAAAGGCGCUCCGGCGUCGCCUGGGGAUGGCUUUGCGGUGCAUUAGCUAGUUGGUGGGGUAAUGGCCCACCAAGGCGACGAUGCAUAGCCGACCUGAGAGGGUGAUCGGCCACACUGGGACUGAGACACGGCCCAGACUCCUACGGGAGGCAGCAGUAGGGAAUCUUACACAAUGGACGAAAGUCUGAUGGGGCAACGCCGCGUGAACGAUGAAGGCCCUCGGGUCGUAAAGUUCUGUUGUAAGGGAAGAACAAGUGCCGCAGGCAAUGGCGGCAACUUGACGGUACCUUGCGAGAAAGCCACGGCUAACUACGUG
rnacentral:rRNA from 1 species